CUUCACAAGAGUGCCACAGGCAAAAGAUUAAAAGAUACAUCCCCUUCUUGUAGAGACACAAUCAGUCGUGACAUUUCACUUUCCCAUGGUUGUUAGUCACUUCCUAGCCAAGCCGAAGUUGUAAUUUUAAUAUCUCUAAAUUGCUGCAAUUAGAAGCGGGUUUACUGGAUUUCCUUUGCGGUUUAAAAUGGCAAUGCCACAUGGAGGGAAUCCAAUUUGCUAGGGUGGGAGUGGUCCACCAAGAUGCCUGAUGGAUAGAGCCAGUCAGCAGAGACCACUGGGUGGGCUGCUGCUCAGCUCCAGGGUGCAGUGGACGUAGGUCUCACGGUCGUACGAGCCCAGGAUGAACAGCCUGGGAGGAGGGAGAGAACGUGUUACACCAAUGGAUUCCUAAUGCAACAUGUCUGAAGUCAAAGUUAUAGUUCUGCUUUAAACAGCUGCCGUGGUCUCUACGUUAACCGGGUAGCCCUCUGAGGCCAACGUAGAUGGCCUGCAAAUUGUCACAAAUCACUGAACAAAUUACGAUAUAUCAUCUUCACAUAAACAUUAUACGAUCUGAGGAAAAUAAUCUAAUAUUUAUAGCUAAUAAGCAAUUUCCCACGGAAAUCCCAAUAUUAAUGGAGGACUCUGGCAGCCAUAACAUCUGUUUAAACCUUAUGAACUACGACAGAAUUCAUGCGUCAAGUGAUUAAACUACUGCACAGAGCAAACCGAUGAGGUACACAAAAACGGACCACUGACGCGCCCUGCUGGACCAAAACAGAUUGCUCUUGCAGCCGAUGUAAUGUAAUGUUUUUGGUUCUAAUGAAAUAGCUACGCACCUUAAAAAUGUCAUAGUGGCAUGUACUGCAUCAUUGCAGUGUGAUUUAUUGAGACCUAAAAAAUAAUACGCUAAUAAAUAUCAAAACAUGUGGUUAUUUUACUAAAUAACAGGGUUAGACUAGCAAAGGCGAGAGACUCAAAGCCCCAUAACAUACAAAUAAUAAAAGGUGACAGUAAAAUCAAAAGGAGUCAAGUUUGACCUCCCCUUGAAAAACAGAGCAUCCCCUGUAUUUAAAUACAUGUUCAGUCAUGCAUGGAGAAUGCGAAAUUACAAAAUACACAUUAAGUCACGCAAGUCUCGAAGUUAUUCCCAUUACUGUAUCGAUAAUUGUUUGUUUGCUUGAUGAUAGAUUAUCUUGAGUAGAAAUAAAAUCAAACAAGCAUAAAUAUAAAUGCAAAAUACAAAUAAGUAGUAGGCUACUACUGUGAGAUAAUGUGUCAAAAAAAUCUUUAAAUAAAUAAAAUAUGCAUAUACAAAAUAUACAG